UACGAAGGGUGCAAGCGUUACUCGGAAUUACUGGGUGUAAAGCGUGCGUAGGUGGUUGUUUAAGUCUGUCGUGAAAGCCCUGGGCUCAACCUGGGAAUUGCGAUGGAAACUGGGCGACUAGAGUGUGGCAGAGGGUAGUGGAAUUCCUGGUGUAGCAGUGAAAUGCGUAGAGAUCAGGAGGAACAUCCGGGGCGAAGGCGACUGCCUGGGCCAACACUGACACUGAGGCACGAAAGCGUGGGGAGCAAACAGGAUUAGAUACCCUGGUAGUCCACGCCCUAAACGAUGCGAACUGGAUGUUGGGUGCAAUUUGGCACGCAGUAUCGAAGCUAACGCGUUGAGUUCGCCGCCUGGGGAGUACGGUCGCAAGACUGAA
rnacentral:rRNA from 1 species